rnacentral:lncRNA from 1 species
CACCAAUUGGGUUGCUGUGGUAAAGGGAGCGCCCUAUUCCCGGUUCCUGUAGAGCACACUCGAGGCGGUUAACCAACUUCUAGUCACCUGCCCGAGCCACGACCCGCCCCAAGGCCUCGUCUCCGUGGGUAGGACGUGCAGAGCUGUUAACCCUUCCAUCGCCGCUACAGAAUCUGCCCUCAGGGUCCCAGCUCAGAAUUAAUCUUUUGAUGACAUCAUCACCUUGGGAUCUCUGUGGAUGUGUUCUCCCCAAUGAAGACCUUUGAGCCGCCUGAGCAACCAACCAACUCCUGAGCCCAGAGUUUAUGAUACAGGGCAUGGGGCCAAGGAAGGUCUUCCAUCUUGCCUGCAUUGUUUCCAUUUCCCUGCGAUUCUGGGUCUGUCUUCCAGGGCUGCUCUCUUUCUGCCCCAAAUUGUGAGUCAAACUUGUGCUUUUAUCUGAGGUUCUGAACUCUGUUCGGACUCAAGGUUGUAGAUGUCAAAAUGGGUUUCAUGCCGUUCUUCAUCCGGGACGCCAAUCCCUUCCAGGGUUGUGGGUCUCAUUGGGUAGAGGGUAAUGGCUACUUUUUUUUCCCCCAAUAUGUGGUCUUGUUAUAUUGCCCAGGCUGAAGGGAUUCUUCUCCAUUUCCUGAGUAGCUGGAAUUACUGGCGCGCUGACACCUUAUAGGUUUGCUUGUUUGUUUUAGUUGUAGAUGGACACAAUACUUUUGUUUGUUUGUUUAGUUAUCUUUAUGUGGUGCUUAGGAUCAAAACCAGUGCCUCACACGUGCUUAGGCGAGCACUCAGCACUCCUGAGCCACAACCCAGCUCAUCUUACCGGGUUUAAGACACUGGUCUUAAGUUAUAAUCUAAAUAAAGCAUUUAGCACAGAGCCUGGGGUGUGGUGUGUACUCACUGAGCAUAACUAUUGGUUACUUAACACUUACUGAGUGCCCACUCUAUACACAGGCAAUAUAAUAGAGCAUGAAAUAUGCCAACUGUUGUCUAGUGUGGUGGCACAGGCCUAUAUUCCCAGCAGUUCUGGAGGCUGAGGCAGG